CAUUCAUUUUCCUCUCCACAACUCGAGGAAAACGACGACAUCUUCUGGUGUUAUAGUAACCUUGUAGAACUACGACCGUUGGGAACGAGGGCUCUUAAUCGUCGUCUACAACGCUGAAUGGUGUUGGGAUGCUGUGGCCUCUAAUUCCGUUAGUCGCAUGGGAGCAGAACAGCCUUGUUAAGUUAUAAGGUAAUUCUAAUUCAUCCUAUUUUGUAAAAUUAAUCUUCAAUAGUUUCUGGGGCUCCGAUUGUGCAGUCGCUAAUUGCUGGGUUUGGUUCAAACUUCAAUCCGAUUGAUAAAUUAUUUAGGAAUUUAAUUCAGUGAUGUUGAAUUUUGAAUAUUAAAGUUGGAGGUUCAGAAAACUGUUCAUACAUCUCACUGCUAUUAGUAGAACCCUUUGGUUUUUGCUGGAAAGGAAGUGUAGAUAAGCAGCAAAUGAAUGGCUAAUUAGAUGAAAAGUUCAUGUAAUUUUACCUGUGUUUUGUCCAAUACAAGGAUAGAAGAAGGUAAGGUCAUAAAUUAAUUAGAACAUAAUUUUUUUUUGUCAUUGACUAGGGAGGGGGAGGGGAAAGUAUUAUAUUGGGUUGCCUCUAGAUUGUCUCGUAUGUGAAUCGAAUCAGGGUGCACUUUGAGGGGAGGGGAGAGUUUGGCCCACUUUUCCACUGCGGUGCCACCCCAUGUGCUAGAAAUGAAAUAUUUAGGAAGUGGAAUGUGGUAUGUGAACAACUAAAAACUAGUUUUAGAAGUAUCAGUUCUUCACAAUAAGCUACCUUCCUUGAAUUUAGUUUUAGAGAGCUCCUUGAUUCUGCUCUUUUAAAGUUAACAAUUUCAAGAUUGGGUCACCCUUUUCAAUUUCAUAAAUGAUAAUGAAGUUUCAAAAUGUUUGAUGUAACCAAGAAGUUAUUCCCUAGGAUAGUUUUCAGAUUGACCUCUGGGCUCUGUUUUAUAUGGUUUCUUUCCUUGACUAGUUGGAGGUGAAGUAUUUGGCAUCACUGUGUCAGCAGAAAUGCUGUCAACAAAAAAGAAAAAAGAAUUGAAAUAGUAUCUUCAAAUAACACAAACAUUAGCAUUGCAGCUAGGAAAGCAUAAAUCUAAGUUCUUGGAUAAAUUUAAGUUCGGGGGAUGUUGAAUCCUUUACAUCUUGAGGCUUUUCUUACUGCGUUUUGCUCGAGUCAUAUUAUGAAAAUGAGCUGUAAUACGUGGAUCGUUUUCAUUUCGGACCUUCAUAACAAUCUGCAUCUGAGUUUUCCAUCUCAUGCUUUGUUGGUGUGUAUCGGUUACUUCAUUCUGGUUGGUUGUUUUUGGCAGGAUAUCAAAUUCGGUGUAUUAUGGUGUGCUUCGUAUGUUAUUUGAUAGCAUUUGGAGUUCUAUUUCACCGGGUGUUCUGGUGCCUUCUAAUGCUCGUUCGUAUGCCCAUUGUGAUUUUUAACCUUGGCAUUAAUAGUCUGCGUUUGUGAUAUGUUGAUGCCUUGAUUUUUUUUAUUUCAGCACUCGGGCUGCUUGUUUUAUUGCUGUUUUCUGAGGUGGAAAUCUGCUCGAAACGAGUACUUCAUCAACUAGUCCGUACGAGACCCUUUGGUUAUUGGACUCUCUCAUUUAGUUGUUUAUUUCCAUUACCAUUAAUUGGGUUAUCAAAUGAAAAUGAAAACUAUUUAAUAUCUGC
rnacentral:lncRNA from 1 species